rnacentral:lncRNA from 1 species
GGUGCCUGAAAAUAUUUGGCAUGGGUCCCCAGAUUCUCAAAGUUCUACAGCUGCACCAUUGAGAGCAUCCUGACCAGUUGCAUCACCGCAUGGCAUGGCAACUGCUUGGCAUCUGACCGUACAUCCUUCAUCCUGAAAGAGGUGGGAGAGCAUCUGGUCGACGUGAUGAAAGAUGGACAGCAUUUGGCCAGCAGUCCCAUCCCUCUCACCAUCACCCAGUUAGAGAUUGCAGACCCCAGAUGGGUCAAGUUCUUUAGACCAGGGCUCGUGACGGGGAGCGCACUUUUGAAAUGUCAGACUUUGUUGUAGAUAGACAAGAUGCAGGUGAGUCACAAAUCUCCCCCUGAAACAAAAACAUAUCACCAUGUGAAUAUUUUCAGAAAUUCGACUAAGACUUUGUGGCUGAACAAUUUAUCAGCCUAUGGGAGACUGACUCUGGCCAUCAAGGGUCCCAGUACUGUCUAGGUCCAGACGGAGGAUGGGUUCUGUGUCGUCUCCUUCUGCCCCACGGAGCCUGGGGCCUACACCCUCUCAGACAAAUUCACGGAGGAACAUGUGCCAGGUCUGGAUGCCCGACACAUUUCUGCCCAUGUGUCCAGUCCCUCUGGGGCCAUAGAAGAAGCAGACAUCACAACAACAGAAGAUGACAUCUACUCUGAGCUUCAUGCCCAGUGAGACGGGUGUCCAUGCACUUAGUGUGAGCUGAUUUCAGUAUCUGGGCUCGAGGCAGGUGCCGGUAACAAUGGAGGGCCCAGGUCAGGCAGAGCUCACCUUUGAGGACAGGGAAGAUGGCUUCUGUGGGAUCUCCUACAUUGCUCAGGAACCAGGUGAGGCCAUAAAAUCUCCUCCCUCGGUUGACAUACAAGAUUCUACUUGAUUGGUCAAUUCAGAAAGGUGUUAACUUGCUUCUGGUGGGGAUGCAUGGUCCCACUGUGGUGUGAGGACAUGUCAAACACCUUGGCUAUGAUGUCAACUAUGUUAUCAAGGAGGGGGCAGCUAUAUAUUGGCUGUGAAGUGGGGAGAGGAGUAUAUUCCAGGGUCUCCUUUCCAUGUCAUUGCCUCUGUUGGGUGCUCAACGUCGCCGGUUUACUAACCACUGGUCCUGGCAAUCAUCAUUACACAUGCCUGACAUCAUCAUUACGCGCACCUGCGCCUCAUUAUGAGGCACACCUGGACUCACUACACUGAUUACCUCCCCUAUAUCUGUCACUCCCUUGGCUCCAUUGCCCAGGCAGUAUUGGUUAUGUGUUACAUGUCCA